CGUAGCUCAACGGCAGAGCAUCCGACUGUUAAUCGGACGGUUGCUGGUUCGAAUCCAGCCG
rnacentral:tRNA from 1 species